UGUCUCAGUUCGGAUUGGAGUCUGCAACCCGACUCCAUGAAGCUGGAUUCGCUAGUAAUCGCGCAUCAGCCACGGCGCGGUGAAUACGUUCCCGGGCCUUGUACACACCGCCCGUCAAGCCAUGGAAGCCGGGGGUGCCUGAAGUGCGCUGCCGCAAGGAGCGCCCUAGGGUAAAACCGGUGACUGGGGCUAAGUCGUAACAAGGUAGC
rnacentral:rRNA from 1 species